UACGUAGGUGGCAAGCGUUGUCCGGAUUUAUUGGGUUUAAAGGGUGCGUAGGCGGUUUAUUAAGUCAGUGGUGAAAUACUUCAGCUUAACUGGAGAGGUGCCAUUGAUACUGAUGAACUUGAGUACAGUCGAAGUAGGCGGAAUGGACGGUGUAGCGGUGAAAUGCAUAGAUAUCGUCCAGAACACCGAUAGUGAAGACAGCUUACUAGGCUGUAACUGACGCUGAGGCACGAAAGUGUGGGGAUCAAACAGG
rnacentral:rRNA from 1 species